UUGGAGUCUGCCUUCGCUGCAGGUAGGGCCGCCUCCGUACGCAGCUCUGUAGAGAACAAUUUUUUGAAGCACACUGUGGCAUGCAGCAAAUGACAGAGAAUGAAAUCGUGAAAAUAUUUUGCGUGUGUGUCGUAUGGUUACUGUGACACUUGCACACACAAAAAGCUGAGGAGAGCUCCUUCGUCGAGUCCAUCAGCACGCACACAGGACGCAGGACGCAGGACAUGACAUGGAAUGCGGAAGGUGGAAAGUGGAAGGACACCCAACUAACGGCAUGUGCAACCCUUUCCACACAUGUGUGUGGCUUGUGUGUUCUGCUCUGUAUACAUAUACAGAGAUACAGAUACAGUCAGCUGAUACACUUAUCAGGCAUUGCAGCGCAUGGAAAUUUGUUGCUGCUGUUGUCGAGGCGGCAAGAAGGAAGGCGAUGCCACAACGGCAUGCCAGAUACUCAUACGAUACCCUCGAAAUGUGCCAAAUUAUUCUCACGUUUCUCUGAUGAUUCAAUGACCGCUUGAUGGCUGUUGUCUAGCCUUAGCAGACUGUCAAAAAUUAUUAGCUUUGGGGUUUGAUCACGAGUCAUUUAAUCGCUAUCAUCGACACCGACUGGUGGCGCUUAUCAGGUGAACCCGCUGAAUUGGCACAUGCAAUUCAAGAUCAAAGUUGAAAUUCUCCCCCCCCCUGGAGACAGAGCGCUCCGUCUGGAUCUACAUUAUCUGCCGCCGCUUGUUUGGAAUUCACACAUCCACAGCAGCGUUUAGAAGGCAGCCACCUGAUCCAGCAAACGAUGUGCCAAAAAAUCCCAACCACUUGAACCUGAGGCCAUACCCUGACGCACACUCCCCGCUACCGUGCUGCGGCAGUGCAAAAACAAUUGUUCGAGAGUAGAAAAAAUAAAGCGAAAAUGUUUUAACGCUUCGACGCAUAACGACAACAAACAAAUCGCUUCAUUUAACAAUAAAUAGCUGCCAGCUACGACGGACGACGUUUCCAAAAAAGCAAACACACGCAACACAGAAGUGAAAACAAUCGCUGGCAGAAAUGUUCAACUGAAAAAAUAAUCGCUUACUGAACACACGGCAAAAGCGUUUGGCAUGUGCCACGCCCAAGCUCGGCCGAAGGUGCACCAAGUGGCACUUGUUGAAGAUCGAAGCGAAUGGUUCGUGCUCCCCCAUUUGGCAAUUAGAUUGAAAGACCCACACUUCAGCACAUUAAUUACGAGCAUGCGGACUGUCUGCCCGCCUGUCUUCUCAGCUCUACGCGUAAUUGCCGGCCGAUCCAGUGGGGCAUGGCGGCUGUAAAUUGUGUACGGCAUGUUCCACCUGGAAAUGAAGUCAAAUUAACAAUAGACCAGCUCUAGGCGCUGGAUAAUUAUGAUGAUAAUAAUCAGCCAUACAGCAGGGAGGAUGGAAUGGCCAAUGGACAUGCAUCUGCCAUGGUUAAGUUCUGUUCUUUUGAGAUUAAAAUAGGCCCCAAGCCAAGUGCACUCUUGGCGCUGCCUCUCCGCUCUUUGGGCUGUCCAAAAAUGUGCAGCAAAUUGAACUUGAGGCCGGCAACAUGCAACUUCCUUCCUGGGUAACUUGGUGACUUCCUUGGCUUAUCCUGACCCUCGAUUCUCGACUGGCCACCGGCUGUGGCAUGCCAUUUGGCCAUUUUGCUCGUCACAUUUUGAGGCUAAUUAAAUCCACGACGGUGCAA